UACGUAGGGCGCAAGCGUUGUCCGGAAUUAUUGGGCGUAAAGAGCUCGUAGGCGGUCUGUCGCGUCGGCUGUGAAAACCCGGAGCUCAACUCCGGGCCUGCAGUCGAUACGGGCAGACUGGAGUUCGGCAGGGGAGACUGGAAUUCCUGGUGUAGCGGUGAAAUGCGCAGAUAUCAGGAGGAACACCGGUGGCGAAGGCGGGUCUCUGGGCCGAUACUGACGCUGAGGCGCGAAAGCCAGGGGAGCAAACGGG
rnacentral:rRNA from 1 species